AGCAGCAGGAGGAGGCAGAGAGCACAGCAUCGUCGGGACCAGACUCGUCUCAGGCCAGUUGCAGCCUUCUCAGCCAAACGCCGACCAAGGAAAACUCACUACCAUGAGAAUUGCAGUGAUUUGCUUUUGCCUCCUAGGCAUCACCUGUGCCCUACCAGUUAAACAGGCUGAUUCUGGAAGUUCUGAGGAAAAGCAGCACUAAAGAUGUACCUACCCCUCCACAACAGAUGAAACUGUGCCAGCCAAACAACAAAUGGGCAUUGUCCCCAGAAGCUUGGACAAAAAGGCACACAGAGUUCAAUUCCAGUUGAACAGAAUAAAGGCCAAAAUAGAGCUGCCUUGGGGGUCACUGCAAUUAGACUGCUUAAUGAAGACAUUAAAAGAAGUAUUCUGUGUUCGUUUGUGUGUGGAGGGGUGUGUGUGUCUGUUUUUCAACUGAUUUGAAAAUACAGGUGUUGAAUCCUAAUAAUAAACCAGAAAAAUUAACAUCUCCAGAGAAGAUAGAGGUCAUACUAUUUGAGGCAAGAAUUAGCGCCUUUUUAAUAAACGAAAAUAUGGC
rnacentral:sRNA from 1 species